UUGCUUUGGCAGCACAUAUACUAAAAUUGGAAUGAUACAGAGAAGAUUAGCAUGGCCCCUGUACAAGAGGAUGUGACUAAACACGUUGAUGAAGGUAGAGCAGUA